UGGGGAAUAUUGCACAAUGGGCGCAAGCCUGAUGCAGCUAUGCCGCGUGUGUGAAGAAGGCCUUCGGGUUGUAAAGCACUUUCAGCGAGGAGGAAGGUGGUGAACUUAAUACGUUCAUCAAUUGACGUUACUCGCAGAAGAAGCACCGGCUAACUCCGUGCCAGCAGCCGCGGUAAUACGGAGGGUGCAAGCGUUAAUCGGAAUUACUGGGCGUAAAGCGCACGCAGGCGGUUUGUUAAGUCAGAUGUGAAAUCCCCGGGCUCAACCUGGGAACUGCAUUUGAAACUGGCAAGCUAGAGUCUCGUAGAGGGGGGUAGAAUUCCAGGUGUAGCGGUGAAAUGCGUAGAGAUCUGGAGGAAUACCGGUGGCGAAGGCGGCCCCCUGGACGAAGACUGACGCUCAGGUGCCGAAAAGCGUGGGGAGCAAAACAGGGAUUUAGAUACCCCGUGGUAAGUCCACGCUGUAAAACGAUGUCGAUUUGGAGGUUGUGCCCUUGAGGCGUGGCUUCCGGAGCUAACGCGUUAAAUCGACCGCCUGGGGAGUACGGCCGCAAGGUUAAAACUCAAAUGAAUUGACGGGGUCAUAGC
rnacentral:rRNA from 1 species